rnacentral:rRNA from 1 species
UGGGGAAUUUUUGGACAAUGGGCGAAAGCCUGAUCCAGCAAUGCCGCGUGUGUGAAGAAGGCCUUCGGGUUGUAAAGCACUUUUGUCCGGAAAGAAAUCCUCUGGGUUAAUACUCGGGGGGAUGACGGUACCGGAAGAAUAAGCACCGGCUAACUACGUGCCAGCAGCCGCGGUAAUACGUAGGGUGCAAGCGUUAAUCGGAAUUACUGGGCGUAAAGCGUGCGCAGGCGGUUUUGUAAGACGGAUGUGAAAUCCCCGGGCUUAACCUGGGAACUGCAUUCGUGACUGCAAGGCUAGAGUAUGGCAGAGGGGGGUAGAAUUCCACGUGUGAGCAGUGAAAUGCGUAGAGAUGGUGGAGGAAUACCGAUGGCGAAGGCAGCCCCCUGGGCCAAUACUGACGCUCAUGCACGAAAGCGUGGGG